rnacentral:rRNA from 1 species
UGGGGAAUAUUGCACAAUGGAGGGAACUCUGAUGCAGCGACGCCGCGUGAGUGAUGAAGGACUUCGUUUCGUAAAACUCUGUUCUAUGGGAAGAAAAGGACUGUACCAUAGGAGAAAGCUCCGGCUAAAUACGUGCCAGCAGCCGCGGUAAUACGUAUGGAGCGAGCGUUGUCCGGAAUUAUUGGGCGUAAAGGGUGCGCAGGCGGCUUUACAAGUUGGAUGUGAAAUAUUGUGGCUCAACCACAAACGUGCAUCCAAAACUGCAAAGCUUGAGUUAAGGAGAGGUAAGUGGAAUUCCUGGUGUAGCGGUGGAAUGCGUAGAUAUCAGGAGGAAUACCGGUGGCGAAGGCGACUUACUGGACUUAAACUUACGCUCAGGCACGAAAGCGUGGGGAGCAAACAGG